GGGGAGAAGACAUUGAGUCUUCGAGUCGUUGAUUUCACACUGCCGAGAAAAGCCUCUAGAUAGAAAAUAGGUGCCCGUACCGCAAACCGACACAGGUAGUCAAGAUGAGAAUUCUAAGGUGAGCGAGCGAACUCUCGUUAAGGAACUCGGCAAAAUGACCCCGUAACUUCGGGAGAAGGGGUGCUCUUUAGGGUUAACGCCCAGAAGAGCCGCAGUGAAUAGGCCCAAGCGACUGUUUAUCAAAAACACAGGUCUCUGCUAAACCGUAAGGUGAUGUAUAGGGGCUGACGCCUGCCCGGUGCUGGAAGGUUAAGAGGAGUGGUUAGCUUCUGCGAAGCUACGAAUCGAAGCCCCAGUAAACGGCGGCCGUAACUAUAACGGUCCUAAGGUAGCGAAAUUCCUUGUCGGGUAAGUUCCGACCCGCACGAAAGGCGUAACGAUUUGGGCACUGUCUCAACGAGAGACUCGGUGAAAUCAUAGUACCUGUGAAGAUGCAGGUUACCCGCGACAGGACGGAAAGACCCCGUGGAGCUUUACUGUAGCCUGAUAUUGAAAUUCGGCACAGCUUGUACAGGAUAGGUAGGAGCCUUUGAAACGUGAGCGCUAGCUUACGUGGAGGCGCUGGUGGGAUACUACCCUAGCUGUGUUGGCUUUCUAACCCGCACCACUUAUCGUGGUGGGAGACAGUGUCAGGCGGGCAGUUUGACUGGGGCGGUCGCCUCCUAAAAGGUAACGGAGGCGCUCAAAGGUUCCCUCAGAAUGGUUGGAAAUCAUUCAUAGAGUGUAAAGGCAUAAGGGAGCUUGACUGCGAGACCUACAAGUCGAGCAGGGUCGAAAGACGGACUUAGUGAUCCGGUGGUUCCGCAUGGAAGGGCCAUCGCUCAACGGAUAAAAGCUACCCCGGGGAUAACAGGCUUAUCUCCCCCAAGAGUUCACAUCGACGGGGAGGUUUGGCACCUCGAUGUCGGCUCAUCGCAUCCUGGGGCUGUAGUCGGUCCCAAGGGUUGGGCUGUUCGCCCAUUAAAGCGGUACGCGAGCUGGGUUCAGAACGUCGUGAGACAGUUCGGUCCCUAUCCGUCGUGGGCGUAGGAAAUUUGAGAGGAGCUGUCCUUAGUACGAGAGGACCGGGAUGGACAUACCUCUGGUGUACCAGUUGUCGUGCCAACGGCAUAGCUGGGUAGCUAUGUGUGGACGGGAUAAGUGCUGAAAGCAUCUAAGCAUGAAGCCCCCCUCAAGAUGAGAUUUCCCAACUUCGGUUAUAAGAUCCCUCAAAGAUGAUGAGGUUAAUAGGUUCGAGGUGGAAGCAUGGUGACAUGUGGAGCUGACGAAUACUAAUCGAUCGAAGACUUAAUC
rnacentral:rRNA from 1 species